AACGUAGGACGCAAGCGUUAUCCGGAGUUACUGGGCGUAAAGCGCGGGCAGGCGGUUCUGCCAGUCUGAUGUGAAAUCUCCUCGCUCAACGGGGAGCAGCCAUUGGAAACUACAGAACUGGAGUCUGACAGAGGUAGGCGGAAUUCCGGGUGGAGUGGUGAAAUGCGUAGAGAUCCGGAGGAACACCAGAGGCGAAGGCGGCCUACUGGGUCAGUACUGACGCUGAGCCGCGAAAGCCAGGGGAGCGAACAGG
rnacentral:rRNA from 1 species